GUGAACGCUGGCGGUAGGCCUAACCCAUGCAAGUCGAACGGCAGCACCGUAAGAGCUUGCUCUUACGGGUGGCGAGUGGCGGACGGGUGAGGAAUACAUCGGAAUCUACUUUUUCGUGGGGGAUACCGUAGGGAAACUUACGCUAAUACCGCAUACGACCUACGGGUGAAAGCAGGGGAUCUUCGGACCUUGCGCGAUUGAAUGAGCCGAUGUCGGAUUAGCUAGUUGGCGGGGUAAAGGCCCACCAAGGCGACGAUCCGUAGCUGGUCUGAGAGGAUGAUCAGCCACACUGGAACUGAGACACGGUCCAGACGCCUAAGGGAGGCAGCAGUGGGGAAUAUGGGACAAUGGGCGCAAGCCUGAUCCAGCCAUACCGCGUGGGAGAAGAAGGCCUUCGGGUUGUAAAGCCCUUUUGUUGGGAAAGAAAAGCAGCAGGUUAAUACCCCGCUGUUCUGACGGUACCCAAAGAAGAAGCACCGGCUAACUUCGUG
rnacentral:rRNA from 1 species